GGAAAAAGUUUCAUCUAGUCAGGGGUGGGCUACAGUUAUUGACUAUGUAGGCUAUGUUCUUGUUGGUGAUGUCGCUGCUGAAAUGUUCAAUUUCUUCAGAGCGAUGGUUUAUGCUGGUUGUGGCUUUGGAGCCGUUGCAGUUGUGUAUGAUGAAGUCAUGACUCACUUCCCACAUGAAGCUGGAUCGCUGACCGACUUAAAAAAAGAAGCUGCCAGCAUCCAGAAUCUUCGAUAUCUCUAUCUUAGUAUCUUGAAGACCAUCUUGCAGGAGUUGACUGACGAAUCCUGUGAGCAUCAGUGUCUACACUGUUACUUGUCAUCUUUGAGUAAAUUAGAUGGUGACUUGGAUAAUCUGCAGAGUGUUAGACAGGCAGUUUGGGAGAGAUUGGAAGAGUUCUCUGAGAACUUUCAGCUUCCCA
rnacentral:misc_RNA from 1 species